rnacentral:rRNA from 1 species
UACGGAGGAUGCGAGCGUUAUCCGGAUUUAUUGGGUUUAAAGGGUGCGUAGGCGGCUUUGCAAGUCAGAAGUGAAAUCCAUGGGCUUAACCCAUGAACUGCUUUUGAAACUGCAGAGCUUGAGUGGAGUAGAGGUAGGCGGAAUUCCCGGUGUAGCGGUGAAAUGCGUAGAGAUCGGGAGGAACACCAGUGGCGAAGGCGGCCUGCUGGACGACAACUGACGGUGAGGCGCGAAAGCGUGGGGAGCAAACAGG